GCCCUUAUAGCUCAGUUGGUAGAGCAGCUCCCUCUUAAGGAGACGGUCGAGGGUUCAAAUCCCCCUGAGGGCA
rnacentral:tRNA from 1 species